rnacentral:rRNA from 1 species
ACUAUUGUCACGGGUUACCGCGGCUGCUGGCACGGAGUUAGCCGGUGCUUCUUCUGUGAGUGAUGUCCUUCCUGCCGGCUAUUAACCCGCAGGCCUUCUUCCUCACUGAAAGUGCUUUACAACCCGAAGGCCUUCUUCACACACGCGGCAUGGCUGGAUCAGGGUUGCCCCCAUUGUCCAAUAUUCCCCACUGCUGCCUCCCGUAGGAGUCUGGGCCGUGUCUCAGUCCCAGUGUGGCUGAUCAUCCUCUCAGACCAGCUACGGAUCGUCGCCUUGGUGAGCCGUUACCUCACCAACCAGCUAAAUCCGACAUAGGCUCAUCCGAUAGCGCGAGGCCCGAAGGUCCCCCGCUUUCCCCCGUAGGGCGUAUGCGGUAUUAGCCUGGGUUUCCCCAGGUUACUCCCCAC